AGUAUUUUGACUAUACAAAGGUAUUGAAAUAAGACUUUAAUUGAGUGCUAAGAGAAUGGAAUUUCAUAAAAUUUCUUUUUUAAUUUUAAAAAUUGAAAUUAAUUUUAUAUGUGAAGAAACAAUAAUAAAAAUUAAGGACAAGAAGACCCUAAGAAUUUUAAAGAUUUCAAUAAAAUUUUGUAUUUUAUUGAAAUCUUUUAGUUGGGGCGAUUAUUAAAUAUUAAAAACUUUAAUUUUUUUAAAAAAGAACCAAUAAUAUUGGUUAUUUGAAAAAAUACUCUAGGGAUAACAGCGUAAUAAUUUUUGAUAGUUCUUAUAGACAAAAUAGUUUGCGACCUCGAUGUUGGAUUAGGAUUCUUUUUUAAUGAAGAAGUUAAAAAAAGAAGUUUGUUCAACUUUUAAAAUCCUA
rnacentral:rRNA from 1 species